ensembl:lncRNA
ACAAAUAAUUAGUAGAACAGCGUGACAGAAAAGCAGUCAUUGUCAGAGUUAUAUUAUUAUAUUAUAUUACUGAGGCCGUUUUUGACUGAAAGAUGUGAUACAGAUAUCUCUGUAAUCUGUGUGUUAUUGUCUCGGUUUUGUUUGUUUGUAGCAUGUUGCUUCAAUUGAUGGUGGAUGAAUUGUGCAGUGAAAUAUGUAAGGAUGUUUUUCAUAGAUUUAUUUAUUGCUUGAGUUGUGUUUCGAGCAUGUACAAACAACUUUAAGAUCUUUGUAGCCCAGGCGCUGAUGUUUCCAGAGAUAUCUGCCAUUAUUAUAUUAUGUUUUUUCUUGAUGGUAUUUUUAGAACCAAUAGGUUUGAUCGGCUUCCUGGUCCACCACGGCCUUUAUUGGGACUAAAGCAGAGGUCUUCAACGUUUUUCAAGCCAAGUCGAAAGGAGCUGUGAGUGAACCGGUGCCCAGCUUGAGAGCUGCUGAGGGAAGCUGGAUGUGUGUGUUGCGGACUGACGGAUAACGUCUUCUCCAUCAAUUUAUCAGUUCGCUACAAUAUGUUGGAUUCAUGUUAAUGUGUAUUUAAAGACCAUAAAUAAAAUUCUGAUUCUGAUUCUGAAGACAUUUACAUUUGUGAGGAUUUUUUUUUAAUUGUUUAAAAAAAUUGCCUUAUCAACCAAAAAUUUUGCGACCCGCCUGCAGUACCUCCUGUUGAAAACCUCUGGACUAAAGGGUUAAUACUUUUUCUGAAAAACUAUACUCUUGCAACUAACUAUACUAUGCCUUUUUAUAAAUUAUUUUGACAUAGUUAGUCCUAAAAGACAUACUACUAUAUGAUGAAAAAAAAAAGUACAGUUUGUGAAAAAGUUUUUAAAAUGUCAAACUACAUUCUAUGCAAGAGGAAAAAUGUCCUGUAAAAGUAAUAUAUAAUACUUGGGUUAUAUUAUACUUAUAUACUAUACAAAUGAAUCGAACACAACCAGCAAAACAAUUUUUUUAAGUCAAUAGAUAUUUAUGUGAUUUUUUUUAUCUCAUGCGUUCUCAUUCAAAAGGCAUGACAAUAGAAAAGGAGAAUGAAAAUGGGCUAUGGCUAUAAAUAUACAAAGAGGCAAAAUCUUUAGAAUCAGUAACAUCAGAAGAUGGCUUAAGCUACCCACACGGACAUGGGGCACAGCACUUUGGAUUACGAAAGAAGCUCCCACCAAAAGCCACAUGGUAGUUUACGCUUAACUUCAUGCAACUGCCCGACAUUCAAGCUGUGUUUCACCUUCAUGCACAAACAAUGGAAAAGUUUGAUUCAUGUGCAUCAUUUACCCCCCGCCCCCUCCCUUUGGCAACGCUAAAUAUAAAACACUAACCCACCCUGUUUCCCAGAACUUGUGUGCAUAAGUUUCCCGUGGUAACUACAAAUACAGACACCCCAUAAUACACACAGUACUCGUCUACAUACAGUACCAUGCUACAGAUCAAAGUACUCAGAUCGGUCCGUCAAAGAAAAAACACAGUAGUACCGUCAGGUACAAGAUGACGCAAUAGGCCACACUGGUCAGGACUGAAAGCGGUCUUCUUUAGCUACUUCAAGUGUAUGAUUCCACUCCAAACCCCUAAAAUCAACAACUCAAGGAAUCCACGUUCACAAACAUGACAAGAGAUUCAAAAUCGGCACCAAAUAUCUAAUUAGGUAUUUACGGAAUGUGCAAAUUAACGAGAAGGUUUAUUUUACCAAAGCGCACAGAAGUCAAGAUGCAAGUGCAAUAACGUAACGGUUAAAAACAACAUUGGUUUAGAAAAUAAUAAAUAAGGGGAUAGACAACUAAGAAAAAUGGUUUGAGAGGAAAUAAGAAAACAUCCAACCCGCAGCAGAAACCAUGAGCCACAAUCUUCAAUGUUGAACAUCAACAAAAGGCACAUACGAGCACACACGCACACUAUGUACCAGCUAAAAUAUGCACAUGCUCAGUACGGGAUCUGGUUCUGGUAAUACUGGAUCAUGUCAUAGGUCCG